AUUGGUUUUAUGUUGGGAAAUUUUGGAAGAAACAUAAAAAACUGAAACGUUGCUUGGAUUAAGUAUUCAACUCCCACACGUCAAUAUUUGGUAGAGCCACCUUUCUCUGCAAUAACAGCUUUAAUUUUUUGGGGGGUAGGUAUGUACCAGCUUUGCCCAUAGUGUUGAAGGAAUGUUGGCCCAUUCCUCUUGGCAGAUUUGCUCCAGGUCAUUUAGGCUGGUUGGAUGUUGCUUGCGGACCGCAAUUUUCAAAGAGCGCCACAGAUUUUCAAUGGGAUUGAGAUCAGGAGUUUGACUGGGCCACUGUAGGACAUUUACCUUUUUGUUCUUGAGCCACUCCAAUGUUGCUUUGGCCUUGUGCUUGGGAUCAUUGUAUUGUUGGAAAGUGAAUUUCCUCCCAAGCUUCAGUUUUUUAGUGGACUGAAGCAGGUUCUCUUGCAGUAUUUCCCUGUAUUUUGCUCCUUCCAUUCUUCCUUCGAUUUUAACAAGUUGCCCAGUCCUUGCUGAUGAGAAGCAUCCCCACAGCAUGAUGCUGCCACCACCAUACUUCACUGUAGGGAUGGUGUGUCUUGAGCCAUGGGUAGUGUUAGGUAUGCACCACACAUAGCGCUUUGAGUUUUGGCCAAAAAACUCUCUCUUGGUCUCAUCUGACCACAAAACCUUUUCCUACAUCGCACCUGGGGCACUCUCGUGCUUUGUGGCAAACUCCAGAUGUGCUUUCAGAUGGUACUUUUUGAGUAUCAGCUUCUUUCUUGCCACCCUCCACACAGGCCAAUGUUAUGCAAAGCUCUUGAUAUUGUUGACUGGUGCACCAGUACUCCAUUCCCAGACACUGAACUCUGUAGCUCCUUCAAAGUGAUUGUUGACCUCUCUGUGGCUUCUCUCACAAGUCUCCUUCUUGACUGAGUGCUGAGUUUUGAGGGACAUCUUUUUCUUGGCAGUGCCUGGGUGGUGUGACACAGCUUCUACUUUCUGAUCAUUGAUCCAACUGUGCUCACUGGGAUAUCCAAAUACUUGGAUACUAUUUUGUACCCUUUUCCUAAUCUAUGCAUUUAUAUUACAUUAUCUCUCACUUCUGUAGAAUGCUCUUUGGUCUUGGUUUUCCUUCAAAUCCACAGCCUGACCAAUGAUCCUUCAACAGUGGGGUCUUUAAUCCUGACAAUGAGACAGCAACUUUAAUGGUUCACAGGUGGAGGCCAAUGGUAAGGUAAUUGUGUCCUCCAUAGGGCAAUUUCUUUAAUCUGUGUAAACUGGGAGCUUCCACAGCACAAGGGUUGAAUACGUAUGCAAGAAACGUGUUUUAGUUUUUUAUGUUUCUUACAAACAUUUCCCAACAUAAAACCAAUGUCACCUAACAAUAAUUGAUUUUGAGUUUCAGCGUUUCAAAAUAUCAUACAGAACAAAAUUACAAUGUACCGUUUGUAAUUCAGUAAUAUGAGAGCAUUGGUCAGGGGUCUGAUUACAUUUGCAAGGCACUGUAUGUGUGUGUGUGUGUGUGUGUGUAUAUGUAUAUAUAUAUAUAUAAAAGAUACCACUGCACUGUUUAAUUUUACCUUUUCUUCAGGUAAAUCCAUACAAUAAGCUCUAGGUGAAAAUGGUGAAUUGUGUAUUUAUAGUUCUGUUAAAUGUUGGAAGAACAUUUUAGGAUUCUAAUGGUUUUUAAAUGAAUGUAUGGAUUUAUACCUCCAAGUUUUUAAGUACAAUUUUAUACCUUGUUUAAAACUAGGUAUUUGGUAAGGUGCUUCCUGGAAUAGCAGAGAAAAUAUGCAAGCUAGAACUUAAAUUGGAACAGUAUUUAAUUUUAGUAUAUUUCAAACAUGGGAGCGGCAAAUGUGGAAAGGAACAGGGAGAAGUUUGUUAGCCAUCUGCUUCUGAUGUUUCCACAAUAUUGUGAUGACAUCGCCAUCUUCUCUGAGGAGUGUUAUCCAGCCACAUGUCAUGCAUUAAAAUUGACCUCUGAAAGGCCUGCAUCUUACAACUAGCCCUUAAUGGAGUGAACUACAUCAUGACUACUGCCCAUCUUCAAACAACAUUGAUGCUGCUUUCAAAAAGAAACUGCCUUUGAGCUAUUCAAUAACUAGUCUUUCCCUACACCCUUAGCACAUAGUGGAAGUAUUACUUGAUUAGUUGUUUUAGAACAUCACAACUCCAGCUUAAUAUCAAGGAGCAGGCAGGAAGUCAUUUUCAUGUGCCUCCAGUCUCCAGAUCCUUUAUGACAUUUGCAAUGCAGCACCUGCCUUGGAGAAAGCAAUAUGGUGAUCUACAAGCCCUUUUGGAACUGGUUCACACAAGCUCAAUAUAGACACUAGCUGUUCUGAUACAUUCUUGAUAUUGAUCUGUGAGACACCUUCAAUUCUGUUCUGAAUUACUAUCAUUUCAUGCAUGAUCUGAAAAAAUGAAUUGCCUGCAAAUAUUGUCUUAAAUGACAAAAAUGGGCAUUUUAUAUAUAGGGCACUAGGUUUAGCUUAAGAUAUAUGUGAAAAUGCACCUUAAAGGCUUAACUACUAAGUUAAUAACUAAGCUGCUUUAAGCAAAAAUAACCAGUUGAAAAAAAGAGCUGAAUCUGCUUUUUUUAAUAUCAAUUUUUGAAGACCAAUAAAAGUGUUUAUGACUGGGUCUUUUUCAAGUGGGUCUUUUGCUAUUGCUUUGUUCCCAACAGUCGAAAAGGCCUUUGAGUCCGUCUAUUGGAACAUAAAUAUUAAUCUAGCACAAAAUCUACUAAUAAAGCUUGACUUUAAGGCUCUCAUGCUCUAGCCUUGUUUUGAUUUUACAAGGCAUCAUUAGUGUGACUCAGGUUUUAUCUAUAAACAUUUUAAGAAUGGUAUCAGUAUCCCUACACAUUAUUAAAGAAUUCAAUUAUUAAACAAGCUCUUAAAAAAACACAAGCUACCUACUUUGUUUAAAUACAUGAUGUAACUGUUAAGAACCUAAAACUGGGUCUGACACCACCCAUGAUGGCAACUGCAAAUUCUGCUAGGUCCUAUGAACACCUUUUUGCAGCUGUAUAAUCUGGCAGGAGGGGAGUGUGUUGUAUCUUUAGCUUGAAUUGGAAUAAACGUAACUGUUCCUUCAGGCUACAGUAGAGGAAGGACAAGAGAUGCAGAGCAAUUAAAAGAUUUGUGAAGCCAUCCUCUUCCCUUGCUUCAUUAAAUAGCAGAAGGGAUGCAGUCCUAGUACAGUGGUGGACCAGCACCUUUUCUCCUUGCAAUUUCCAUCCCAGCUGCUCAUUAGAACUUAUAAUGACGAACUGGUUACCCGAGUUUAUUUCCUCUAGCAUUCCAAUCCUUUUUUCUUUUGUGUUGUCUUUUUAGAUUGUAAGCCUGACGGCAAGGACUGUUUAUUAUUGAUCUGUAAGCUAUGCUCGGAGUGUUUUGGCUGAAGAGCUGGAUAAAAACUAUUAAAAAAUUGGAAAAGUU